GAUGAACGCUGGCGGCGUGCCUAAUACAUGCAAGCCGAGCGAACGGACGAGAAGCUUGCUUCUCUGAUGUUAGCGGCGGACGGGUGAGUAACACGUGGAUAACCUACCUAUAAGACUGGGAUAACUUCGGGAAACCUGAGCUAAUACCGGAUAAUAUUUUGAACCGCAUGGUUCAAAAGUGAAAGACGGUCUUGCUGUCACUUAUAGAUGGAUCCGCGCUGCAUUAGCUAGUUGGUAAGGUAACGGCUUACCAAGGCAACGAUGCAUAGCCGACCUGAGAGGGUGAUCGGCCACACUGGAACUGAGACACGGUCCAGACUCCUACGGGAGGCAGCAGUAGGGAAUCUUCCGCAAUGGGCGAAAGCCUGACGGAGCAACGCCGCGUGAGUGAUGAAGGUCUUCGGAUCGUAAAACUCUGUUAUUAGGGAAGAACAUAUGUGUAAGUAACUGUGCACAUCUUGACGGUACCUAAUCAGAAAGCCACGGCUAACUACGUG
rnacentral:rRNA from 1 species